UACGUAGGGGGCAAGCGUUGUCCGGAUUUAUUGGGCGUAAAGAGCUCGUAGGCGGCUUAGUAAGUCGGGUGUGAAACCUCCAGGCUCAACCUGGAGACGCCACCCGAUACUGCUGUGGCUAGAGUCCGGUAGGGGAGCGUGGAAUUCCUGGUGUAGCGGUGAAAUGCGCAGAUAUCAGGAGGAACACCGAUGGCGAAGGCAGGUCUCUGGGCCAUAACUGACGCUGAGAAGCGAAAGCAUGGGGAGCGAACAGG
rnacentral:rRNA from 1 species